UGGAAUGUAGCUCAGUGGUAGAGUACUUGACUAGCAGGCAGGAUGCCCAGGGUUCAAUCCCCAGCACCACAA
rnacentral:tRNA from 1 species